rnacentral:rRNA from 1 species
GACUAACCGUACGAACGUUAUUCGGAAUCACUGGGCUUAAAGGGUGCGUAGGCGGCGCUGAAAGUUGGGUGUGAAAUCCCUCGGCUCAACCGAGGAACUGCGCCCAAAACUACAGUGCUCGAGGGAGAUAGAGGUGAGCGCAACUUAGGGUGGAGCGGUGAAAUGAGUUGAUAUCCUAAGGAACGCCAGGGGCGAAAGCGGCUCACUGGAUAUCUUAUGACGCUGAGCAACGAAAUCUAGGGUCGCGAAUGGG